rnacentral:rRNA from 1 species
CCUACGGGAGGCAGCAGUAGGGAAUUUUGCGCAAUGGGCGAAAGCCUGACGCAGCAACGCCGCGUGAUCGAGACGCCCUUCGGGGUGUAAAGAUCUGUUAGUGGGGACGAAACUUGACGGUACCCACAGCGGAAGCACCGGCUACCUACGUGCCAGCAGCCGCGGUCAUACGGGGGGUGCAAGCGUUGUCCGGAAUCAUUGGGCGUUAAGCGUUCGUAGGCGGCACGGAAAGUCUGGUGUUAAAGGCAGAGGCUCAACUUCUGUACGGCAGUGGAUUCUUGCGAGCUAGAAUGCGGUAGAGGUAAAGGGAAUUCCUGGUGUAGCGGUGAAAUGCUUAGAUAUCAGGAGGAACAUCGGUGGCGAAGGCGCUUUACUGGACCGUAAUUGACGCUGAGGAACGAAAGCGAGGGGAGCAAAUAGGAUUAGAUACCCGGGUAGUC